rnacentral:rRNA from 1 species
UACGGGGGAGCAAGCGUUGUUCGGAUUUACUGGGCGUAAAGGGCGCGUAGGCGGCCAGGCGUCAAGUCAGUUGUGGAAAUCUCCGGGCUUAACUCGGAACGGUCAACUGAUACUGCGCGGCUAGAGUGCAGAAGGGGCAACUGGAAUUCUCGGUGUAGCGGUGAAAUGCGUAGAUAUCGAGAGGAACACCUGCGGCGAAGGCGGGUUGCUGGGCUGACACUGACGGCUGAGGAGCGGAAAGCAUGGGGAGCGAACAGG